UACGUAGGGUGCGAGCGUUGUCCGGAAUUAUUGGGCGUAAAGGGCUCGUAGGCGGUCUGUUGCGUCGGGAGUGAAAACUCAGGGCUUAACCCUGAGCCUGCUUCCGAUACGGGCAGACUAGGGGUAUGCAGGGGAGAACGGAAUUCCUGGUGUAGCGGUGAAAUGCGCAGAUAUCAGGAGGAACACCGGUGGCGAAGGCGGUUCUCUGGGCAUUACCUGACGCUGAGGAGCGAAAGUGUGGGGAGCGAACAGG
rnacentral:rRNA from 1 species